rnacentral:rRNA from 1 species
UACGAAGGGUGCAAGCGUUACUCGGAAUUACUGGGCGUAAAGCGUGCGUAGGUGGUUUGUUAAGUUCUGAUGUGAAAGCCCUGGGCUCAACCUGGGAAUUGCAUUGGAUACUGGCAGGCUAGAGUGCGGUAGAGGGUAGUGGAAUUCCCGGUGUAGCGGUGAAAUGCGUAGAGAUCGGGAGGAACACCAGUGGCGAAGGCGGCUACCUGGACCAGCACUGACACUGAGGCACGAAAGCGUGGGGAGCAAACAGG